AUUUUAGCGUCUGAUGAAAGAAUAGUAUUGAUAGUACUAAAUAUGUAGUUAUUCUACCUAAAAUU
rnacentral:tRNA from 1 species